rnacentral:rRNA from 1 species
GACAGAGGCCUCGAGCGUUAGGCGGAAUCACUGGGCUUAAAGCGUGUGUAGGCGGGAGGGCACGUCCGUCGCUGAAAUCCCCCGGCUCAACCGGGGAACGGGCGCGGAUACGACCUUCCUGGAGGGGCGUAGGGGGACCUGGAACUUCCGGUGGAGCGGUGAAAUGCGUUGAGAUCGGAAGGAACGCCCGUGGCGAAAGCGAGGUCCUGGACGCCUACUGACGCUGAGACGCGAAAGCCAGGGGAGCGAACGGG